UUUCAACCCGAUUAUCAUCCGGUUUCUGGAAAAACUUACUGAGGAGCAAUGGAGGCAGUUAAGCAUUGGCAGGAUGGACCCUGUGAUGAGGGCAUUGCUUGCAGAGAUGUGCCUGGAGAUUGUGCGGUUUGUAUCUGAGGCCAUCCUGGAGGUCAUCAUCCCUGCAAUUUUCCGUUUUGUACGGAUAUACAGCCAUGGGUCUCCAGUAUCCGGCAAGUCUCUGACAGAAUCAGAGAGAUCCUCUAGCACAAACCUGAAGGUUCGCAAGAGAGGCAGCAGCAAAUCCUCAAGGUCUUGCACGGCCAAAUCAAGCUCCUCUCGUAAUGGGCCUGCAGAGUCUGAAAAUAAAGACUGCUUCUACAGAAUUCCUUUGAAGA
ensembl:lncRNA